ACUGUGAGCCCAUAUAGUGUGUGUGUGUCUGUGUGUGUAUACAUACACACAGACACACACACAGACACACACACACACACACA
rnacentral:miRNA from 1 species